rnacentral:lncRNA from 1 species
UUAAAAAUAGUUCAGAGUCUUAGGCAAAGUGUAAUUAAAUGUAGCAUUUCAUAUUUGAAGUGUUCUUUGGAUACCACAUCUACCUUGUUCCUGUUAUACUUGUAUGAAUCAAUGAAUAGGUAUAGUUCUCAUGGGACCUUUACUUGACUCAUAAUUCUCCAAUGAAUCAGCCUAGUGAAGUAUCAGAAAAGUCAAACAUAUUAUAAAUAUGCCUAUAUACGUGUGUGUGUGGAGGGGAAGAUAUUCAGCUUUCACAUCUCUCUAACGUUCAAUUCUCUGUAUGUACAAUGAGCCUGGAACUCAGGUGUUAAGAAGAGUUCAUUGGCCACUGAAGGAGACUCCUCCCCUGUGUUGGGGAGAGAAGGACUUUACUCUUUGGAAUUACUUAUUCUUCACUAUUACCUGCCCACCACACAUCUGGGGAUUGAGCCCAUUGCUUUACUGCUGAGCUACAUCCCCAGACCUUUCUUAACAUUUAUUCUGAGACAGAAUCUAAGUUUCUCAGGCUGGCUUUGAACUUAACAUCUUCCUGCCUCAGCCAUCUGAGUAGCUGGGAUUGCAGACUUGUGCCACCACCCCAGGCUUGCAAUUACUUUUUGUAUUGACAUUUCGAGAGCCUUUUGUUACUUUAUUUAUAAAACAGGCUUAUCUGUUGAUCAAUUUUCCUACUACUUACAAAAUCACAAUAUUAAUUGGCAUAAUUUAUAGCCUUUUUAUUAGAACACUUUGAGGAACAUAAAGCUAAUCAGUCAAAAGGCAGCUUUUAGGAGAAGGAGUAUCUCAUGGCUAUUUCUUUUCUUUUUAUGAUAUCAGGGAUUAAAACCAGGGGGCUUAACCAUUGAGCUGCAUUCCCAGACCUUUUUAUAUUUUAUUUAGAGAUAGUCUCCCUAAAUUGCUUAGGGCUCUGCUAAGUUGCUGAGGCUGGCUUUGAACUCUUGAUUCUCCUGCCUAAGCUUUCCAAGCCACUGGGAUUACAGGCAUGUGUCACCAGACCCAGUUUCCCAGGGCUACUUCUAAGUAAGAAAGAACUU